GUUUGUCUGAAAAUCACGUGAUCGUCUUUGUCCGGAGACGCAAUAUCUCUGCGACUGAAGGUUAGCUGCUUGCCGAAAGUACAGUACACGGGACAAAAAGGAAAGCUGCAAAAAAACGGGAGGGAAAUACUUUCGGUAUUGACUGAGAGGCUUUAAUAGCCGUUGAUGCAUGUCAGAAAACAAAUUUUAACAUGCCGGCCCCGUGUUUUGCAGGAAACGGAAAAACUGCUGCGGACCUGAGGCUGCGAUAGGCAGAGGAUAUUUAUUGAGAAUAAUUUGCAGACCAGGAUCACAAAGCAAGUUCUCCAUUAAGCGGAGUGAUCAGGAUCUGAGUAUCAUUGACACUUAACUGGGAAAGGGAAGAGGUUUAACCAUUCUAUGCGUGGGAGAAUAUUCCUGGACUCUUUUAUACCCCCACAGGACCUUUUGUGAUCUAAUCCAGUAACAGUGUGAGCUGCUACAAUGCACGUGCUAGUAAAAGCAUAAGAGGACAGAUGAGAUGAGUGCAUGGCUGGAGCUAUAACUUAAAAGGUUUGGAUUCCUGAGGCAUUGAGACUUUGUUUGUUUCUGGGGAAGGUGGGACAUGCACAAGCUUGAACAAUUGUCCUGGGCAGAGCUGGGACAGAUAUUCUUGUUGAUGCUUUUGCUAGUUCCACUGGUGAGGAUUUAAACUCGUAUGACAGGGGAAUGGGAACCAAAGUAUACCUUUAGCAGUAAAAGACUCAAAUCAGCAAAUGGGACGUGAAAUUAGUUCAUGAUGUUUUCGGUGGCUGAAAGAUUAAAAGAAAGAAGGAUUAAUCAAGAUCAAAUCGCUUUUCAUACAUCAGUCCUGUGAUCCCAGGAAUUGGUCUGGUGAACCUUCUUUACGAUCAUUCAGUAGCCAGGGCAUCCUUCCUCUGGAAAGGAGAACAAAGGUGCACACGACUCCAGGUGUGGUCUCACCAAGGCCCUUAUAGAAAGAUAUCCCUCUUCCUGUACUCGAAUCCUCUCAAUGAAGGCCGAAAUAUCAUUUGCAUUCUUCACUACUUGCUGCUGCCUGUUUUCUAAAAGAGAACAGGAGAGAAACACGGAACUAAAUGGGGUCAGACACUCGGGUAAAAUUGUUGAACACAAUGUCCCCAUUGUAUCGGUGCUGGCCAUCAAGCACCUAUUGAAGCUAGGCCCAUUUUCUGGCACUUGGUGUGUAACCUGUAUUAUGGUGCAAUGGAUGAUCAUCUCAACACUUCUUCAAGAUUGCAAUGGUUCCUGCAUCUAUCACCAUUUCAGAUGCUGCCAGAUCUGCUGUGUAUCUCCAUCUUUUUCUGUUUUUAUUUCAGAUUUCAGGUAUUUUGCUGCAUCUUAGUCCUUCAGAAGCAUCAAAGGGUAUGGGGAGAAAACAGGAAUUGGAUUCAUUUUCAGAUGUAUAAAAUGCAUGUCUGUCCAAACUAUCUCUUUUUGUAGUUUUGGGCAAACGCUGAAUGUUUCCCUUCCCUGAAGGACAUUUAAUGAACCAGUUCAGUUUUACUGAUAAUCCAGCUGUGGCCCUAAGUGUUGGAUCCACAAUUGACCAGAUUUAUUUCUGAGUUUCACAAUCUUUAUGUGUGUUCUUCUGGUUUCUCUCUCUCUGCUUUUCUGUUUGAAAUUUUGAUUGCAUUCAGAGAAAUCAAACAAAACCACACCCAGAUCUGACACUCAAUCUGUUUGUCAUAACCUA